rnacentral:piRNA from 1 species
UAAACAUUACUUUGACAUGACCUUUUUGGA